UCAGGAGGAGCAGCCGGAGGAACGCCACCCCUCCAGCAAGUGGCGUGGGAUGCGCGUGUCAAAUUUGAAGUAGACUACAGGCGGAGAGGGUAUAGGACUGCACGCGUCGGUAGAUAGCAGUGGGACUAGAGCACAUACCGGGCCCGGUACCAAAGGAUACACCCACCACGUAAAUUAAUUUUCAUUGUUGCCUGUCGGUUGGGUUGUGGAACGUAUAAUUCCGCUUUCAUGACGUUCCUAAUCUUUGGUAUGGAAUUGCAUCACAUGUCAAGGUUGGUUUCAAAACAUCAGGAUUCGAAAAAGUUGCAAUGAAGGACGUGUGUUUCCAGUGUUAUCACACAAAAUGCCCAGAGGUGGCCAUAUUUUAUGAUCUUAAUGGUGAUCUGAACAAGAAUCUGCUGGUGCCAGGCCCAUUCCAGAAAUGCACCUCCACUCCCUAUCCUCCAUCUGGGAAGUGCACCAUGUGUCUCCAGGAUGAUUAUUCUUAUGCUUUGUGCAGAAAUGUGUCAGAGAGCCUCCAGCCUGCCCUGGAGGCCAACAGCACAGCCGUUACCAACUAUAAACACACCAAUUGCUCUGUCGUUGGCAUCACGUCAACUACUAUGAAUGGUCCAGACUUCACUGGAGAUGCUGCUCAAUAUGGACAUCCUGGGGGUGAACUGUGGUGGUGUUUACUGAUCCUUGUCCUGGUCGUCAUUUGCAUUUGCAUUGGCAUUGCUUACUGGUGUAUCAAGAAGCGCAAAAUAAAUAGAAACCAUGUUGUAUAAGGGAGAAAGUGACAGGGACAGCGCUCAGGACUACCCGUCCCUUAACCAAGCUGUUUGGACCAAACCACCAGAGACAGGGACAACCCUCAGGACUACCCAUCCCUUAACCAAGCUGUUUGGACCCAACCACCAGAGACAGGGACAACCCUCAGGACUACCCAUCCCUUAACCAAGCUGUUUGGACCAAACCACCAGAGACACGGACAACCCUCAGGACUACCCAUCCCUUAACCAAGCUGUUUGGACCAAACCACCAGAGACAGGGACAACCCUCAGGACUACCCGUCCCUUAACCAAGCUGUUUGGACCAAACCACCAGAGACACGGACAACCCUCAGGACUACCCAUCCCUUAACCAAGCUGUUUGGACCAAACCACCAGAGACAGGGACAGCACUCAGGACUACCCAUCCCUUAACCAAGCUGUUUGGACCAAACCACCAGAGACACGGACAACCCUCAGGACUACCCAUCCCUUAACCAAGCUGUUUGGACCAAACCACCAGAGACACGGACAACCCUCAGGACUACCCAUCCCUUAACCAAGCUGUUUGGAUCAAACCACCAGAGACAGGGACAACCCUCAGGACUACCCGUCCCUUAACCAAGCUGUUUGGACCAAACCACCAGAGACACGGACAACCCUCAGGACUACUCGUCCCUUAACCAAGCUGUUUGGACCCAACCACCAGAGACAGGGACAACCCUCAGGACUACCCAUCCCUUAACCAAGCUGUUUGGACCAAACCACCAGAGACAGGGACAACCCUCAGGACUACUCGUCCCUUAACCAAGCUGUUUGGACCCAACCACCAGAGACAGGGACAACCCUCAGGACUACCCAUCCCUUAACCAAGCUGUUUGGACCAAACCACCAGAGACAGGGACAACCCUCAGGACUACCCAUCCAUUAACCAAGCUGUUUGGACCAAACCACCAGAGACAGGGACAACCCUCAGGACUACCCAUCCCUUAACCAAGCUGUUUGGACCCAACCACCAGAGACAGAGACAACCCUCAGGACUACCCAUCCCUUAACCAAGCUGUUUGGACCAAACCACCAGAGACAGGGACAACCCUCAGGACUACCCAUCCCUUAAACAAGCUGUUUGGACCCAACCACCAGAGACAGGGACAACCCUCAGGACUACCCAUCCCUUAACCAAGCUGUUUGGACCAAACCACCAGAGACACGGACAACCCUCAGGACUACCCAUCCCUUAACCAUGCUGUUUGGAUCAAACCACCAGAGACACGGACAACCCUCAGGACUACUCGUCCCUUAACCAAGCUGUUUGGACCCAACCACCAGAGACAGGGACAACCCUCAGGACUACUCGUCCCUUAACCAAGCUGUUUGGACCCAACCACCAGAGACAGGGACAACCCUCAGGACUACCCAUCCCUUAACCAAGCUGAUUGGACCAAACCACCAGAGACACGGACAACCCUCAGGACUACCCAUCCCUUAACCAAGCUGUUUGGACCCAACCACCAGAGACAUGGACAACCCUCAGGACUACCCAUCCCUUAACCAAGCUGUUUGGACCAAACCACCAGAGACAGGGACAACCCUCAGGACUACCCAUCCCUUAACCAAGCUGUUUGGACCAAACCACCAGAGACAUGGACAACCCUCAGGACUACCCAUCCCUUAACCAAGCUGUUUGGACCCAACCACCAGAGACAGGGACAACCCUCAGGACUACCCAUCCCUUAACCAAGCUGUUUGGACCAAACCACCAGAGACAUGGACAACCCUCAGGACUACCCAUCCCUUAACCAAGCUGUUUGGACCCAACCACCAGAGACAGGGACAACCCUCAGGACUACCCAUCCCUUAACCAAGCUGUUUGGACCAAACCACCAGAGACAGGGACAACCCUCAGGACUACCCAAACCCCCAGAUCAGGAUGCUGCUGGAUUGUCUCUGCCUUCAUUCCAUCUCUUUAACUCUUCUUACAGUUGUAAUCUUUUUAUAAAUAAAAAUCAAAUCAAAUCAAAUUUUAUUUGUCACAUACACAUGGUUAGCAGAUGUUAAUGCGAGUGUAGCGAAAUGCUUGUGCUUCUAGUUCCGACAAUGCAGUAAUAACCAACAAGUAAUCUAACUAACAAUUCCAAAACUACUGUCUUAUACACACAAGUGUAAGGGGAUAAAGAAUAUGUACAUAAAGAUAUAUGAAUGAGUGAUGGUACAGAGCGGCAUAGGCAAGAUACAGUAGAUGGUAUUGAGUGCAGUAUAUACAUAUGAGAUGAGUAUGUAAACAAAGUGGCAUAGUUAAGGUGGCUAGUGAUACAUGUAUUACAUAAAGAUGCAGUAGAUGAUAUAGAGUACAGUAUAUACGUAUAUAUAUGAGAUGAAUAAUGUAGGGUAUGUAAACAUUUUAUUAGGUAGCAUUGUUUAAAGUGGCUAGUGAUAUAUUUUACAUAAUUUCCCAUCAAUUCCCAUUAUUAAAGUGGCUGGAGUUGAGUCAGUGUGUUGGCAGCAGCCACUCAAUGUUAGUGGUGGCUGUUUAACAGUCUGAUGGCCUUGAGAUAGAAGCUGUUUUUCAGUCUCUCGGUCCCAGCUUUGAUGCACCUGUACUGACCUCGCCUUCUGGAUGAUAGCUGGGUGAACAGGCAGUGGCUCGGGUGGUUGUUGUCCUUGAUGAUCUUUAUGGCCUUCCUGUAACAUCGGGUGGUGUAGGUGUCCUGGAGGGCAGGUAGUUUGCCCCCGGUGAUGCGUUGUGCAGACAUUUACAUUUACAUUUAAGUCAUUUAGCAGACCUCACUACCCUCUGGAGAGCCUUACGGUUGUGGGCGGAGCAGUUUCCGUACCAGGCGGUGAUACAGCCCGACAGGAUGCUCUCGAUUGUGCAUCUUAUACAUUUUCAUAUUCAGAUUCUUGUAUAACAGUACCUGUAAACCAAUGCCUUGCAUAAUUUUCACUCUAAUUGUACUAACAUCAGCUGGCUGAAGCGAAGUCUUAGGAGUGCUGAUGGGAAUAAAUCAGGUUUAGGAAAAUGUCAUGCCACGCAAAGAAAAUUGUCUAAUUCACUACGUACUCUACCGUGGGUAUCACAAGUAUUCUGGAUAUGCUUGACAUCGGCAAAGACUGGGGAGUUGUUCAGGAUAAAAAUAAAUAGGAUGUAGCUAAGCCCAGGCAAAAUCCUAGUGUAAAACAUGCUUCAGUCUGCUUUACAUCAGACACUAGGAGAGGAAUUCACCCUUCAAUAACCUAUAACACAAGGCCAAAUCGACUUUGCAGUUGCUUACCAAGAAGACUGAAUGUUCCUGAGUGGCCAAGAUACAGUUUUGAUUUCAAUCUGCUUGAAAAUGUAGUGCACGACUGAAUAAUUGCUGUCUAGCCAUGAUCCCCAACACCUUCACAGAGCUUGAAGAAUUUUGAAAAGAAUGAUGGGGAAAAUAUUGCACAUGUACCGAAGAAGACUAACAGCUGUAAUCCCUACCAAAGGUGUUUCUAACAUGUAUUGGCUCAGGUGAAUACUUAUGUAAUCAAGGUAUAUUAGUGUUUUAUAUUUUUUAUAAAUAUUUUAUUUAAAAAAUAUAUAUAUAUUUUGGGAUGACAGAGUAUUUUGUGUGGAUCAUUGACAAAAAAAUGACAAUGAAAUGAAUUUGAAUCCCAUAUUAUGUCAAUAAAUCCAAGGGAGUUGAAUGAUAGUGUAUUAUUAUAGUACUCUACUAAAGUGUUGGAGAUGCAGUGUGUC